UACUUAAAAUGGGUGUAGUAUGUUACAUGUAAAUUACAUCAUAAGACCUGAUUUUUCAUUUUAUUUUAUUUUAGUUUUGGAGACUGAGUCUCACUCUGUUGCCCAGGCUGCAGUGCAGUGGCGUGAUCUCAGCUCACUGCAAUCUCCGCCUCCCAGGCUCAAGCCAUUCUUGUGUCUCAGCCUCCUGAGUAGCUGGGACUACAGGCGUGCACCACCAUGCCCGGCUAAUUUUUUGUAUUUUAGUAGAGACGGGGUUUCACCAUGUUGCCCAGGGUGGUCUUGAACUCCUGAGCUCAGGCAAUCCACCCGCCUCAGCCUCCCAAAGUGCUGGGAUUACAGGCAUGAGCCACUAUGCCCAGCCAAGACCUGAUUUUUCAAAAACUGUCAUGAACAUUGUCAAGAAGAAAUACAGGAUGCACUGGGAGAUGAACUAGAUCUUCAAGAGAAAGAGAAUGUUAAAUGGAAUGAUGAAGGAGAGGAACAGCUAAAUGAAUACUUUGAAUCAGUAUUUAUUGAAGAAGACAAUGGGGAAAUUCUUGUUCCAAGGACACAUUUUAUGGCAAAGCAGAGAACGGCCUUGACAGAGAUUCUUCAGUCUCUCAGGAGAAAGGAUGCAGAUGAUGCAGAUGACAUGAAUGUUUUUCCUUCGCCUCAAACAGGGAGUCAAGUCGGAGAAGCAAGCAUGAAAACAGAAACUAACCUUAAGCCAAAGCACAGGCCCUUAGCAAUAUUACUAUAUGCCCACCAGUCACCUGCCUGUGGAAAUGAAAUCAUAACCAUUCCCCUUUGCCCCGCUUCCUCUGUCACCCAUCACAGACUGUGAGUACUGUCACAGGGGUAUGAAACAGCAAAUAAUGACGCUGAUACUUUUCUUACUGCCUCUUAAAGACAACCACUAUUCAUGGAACAACAGUUUGUAAGCUCAAAGUAAUGAUGGACAAAUUGAUUAAGAGAUGCUUAAUCUAAGGAUUAGCAUUCAGCCAAAUGCUGCUUAACAUAGCCAACAAGGAUUCAAAAGCGGAAACAGCUGUGUUGUUCAGGAAUUUGUUUGUAAUAAAAGAGUAAUUUUUUGCCAGUAAAAUUCGGCAUUAGUAAAUCCUUUAGCAUCAUCUCUUUCUUGUUGGAAUUCCCAAGCUGGAAACUUCCUGCGAUCAAUAUUCUAAAGACAUGGUUCCUGGGUCUGAGAGGGAGGCAACAGCACUAUAGACAUCAGAGAAUUCUGGGCUCCAUCCCUUCCUAACAAAGAAGCUGUCUGAAUUCUCUUAGCCUUGGACAUUCUAUCCACAAAAUAGGGCUGAUAAGCAAUACCUUACAGGGGUUGUUGUGAACAAUAAAUAAGCAAUCAUACAUAAAGUUUCUAGCACUCUACGUAGGAGCUAAGAGGUUUUCAAUCAAUGUUUGUUCCUUGCCCUCCUUCCCUCAUCUUCUAGGACUUCCAAUAUACUGUUUUAAACCUACAUUUUUGGCAAGAAGAGCAAAACUCCGUCUCAAAAAAAAAAAAAAAAAAGCUACAUUUGUUAGCCACUAAAUUGUUUAAGGUAAAUAAAUGAAGCAUUUGCUUUUUUUCAGAAAAGGAAUUUUUUUUCUUUCGUUGUGUUUCACAUCAUAUAAG
rnacentral:lncRNA from 1 species